UACGAAGGGGGCUAGCGUUGUUCGGAAUUACUGGGCGUAAAGCGCGCGCAGGUGGUCUUUCAAGUCAGUGGUGAAAGCCCGGAGCUCAACUCCGGAAAUGCCAUUGAAACUGUAAGACUUGAGGAUGAGAGAGGUGAGUGGAAUUCCCAGUGUAGAGGUGAUAUUCGUAGAUAUUGGGAAGAACACCGGUGGCGAAGGCGGCUCACUGGCUCAUAUCUGACGCUCAGGCGCGACAGCGUGGGGAUCAAACAGG
rnacentral:rRNA from 1 species